CCAGGAAGAAGAAACAGGCAGUGCAAAGGCCUAGAGGCUGGAGGAUGCUUGGCUGUGCACCAGGAACAGCAAGGAAGCUAGCAUGGCCGGAGUAGGGGGUGCAGGGGACCUUGCCGGUUUCCCACCAUUGUCUGAUAAGGCUGGUACAGCCUACAUUGAAGAGCAUGAGACAGCCACCAUGCAAGGAGAAUGAUGACUAGCCAUGGAGGAGGAGUGGAACUGGCAAGGACACUGAGAGGCAGCAGCUAAUAGGGAAACAAGGAGACGUGGAAUCCUACAAGCCAAGUGAAAAAAAACCUUUUUCUGGAAG